rnacentral:rRNA from 1 species
GAUGAACGCUGGCGGCGUGCCUAAUACAUGCAAGUCGAGCGAACGGACGAGAAGCUUGCUUUUCUGAUGUUAGCGGCGGACGGGUGAGUAACACGUGGAUAACCUACCUAUAAGACUGGGAUAACUUCGGGAAACCGGAGCUAAUACCGGAUAAUAUUUUGAACCGCAUGGUUCAAAAGUGAAAGACGGUCUUGCUGUCACUUAUAGAUGGAUCCGCGCUGCAUUAGCUAGUUGGUAAGGUAACGGCUUACCAAGGCAACGAUGCAUAGCCGACCUGAGAGGGUGAUCGGCCACACUGGAACUGAGACACGGUCCAGACUCCUACGGGAGGCAGCAGUAGGGAAUCUUCCGCAAUGGGCGAAAGCCUGACGGAGCAACGCCGCGUGAGUGAUGAAGGUCUUCGGAUCGUAAAACUCUGUUAUUAGGGAAGAACAUAUGUGUAAGUAACUGUGCACAUCUUGACGGUACCUAAACAGAAAGCCACGGCUAACUACGUG